rnacentral:rRNA from 1 species
AGAGUUUGAUCCAGGCUCAGAUUGAACGCUGGCGGCAGGCCUAACACAUUCAAGUCGAGCGGUAGAGAGAAGCUUGCUUCUCUUGAGAGCGGCGGACGGGUGAGUAAUGCCUAGGAAUCUGCCUGGUAGUGGGGGAUAACGUUCGGAAACGGACGCUAAUACCGCAUACGUCCUACGGGAGAAAGCAGGGGACCUUCGGGCCUUGCGCUAUCAGAUGAGCCUAGGUCGGAUUAGCUAGUUGGUGAGGUAAUGGCUCACCAAGGCGACGAUCCGUAACUGGUCUGAGAGGAUGAUCAGUCACACUGGAACUGAGACACGGUCCAGACUCCUACGGGAGGCAGCAGUGGGGAAUAUUGGACAAUGGGCGAAAGCCUGAUCCAGCCAUGCCGCGUGUGUGAAGAAGGUCUUCGGAUUGUAAAGCACUUUAAGUUGGGAGGAAGGGUUGUAGAUUAAUACUCUGCAACUUGACG